rnacentral:lncRNA from 1 species
UCAGUGUUGAGUGUAAACCCUGAUAUCAGUCGCCACUACCACAUCUGUCCCCCACCAGUCUGUUGCUGCUGUUGUUGUUGUUUUCUUGACGCUUGUACAUAAGAGUAAAUACUCCUAAGUCUUCUAUAGCAAUAACAGGCAACCAGAACAAUUAACAGCAGGAAGUUAAUGGAGGAAGAUACACACGAGCUGAUACUAUAUUGGGUUUUGUAAUGUUUCAUUGUAAGGAGCCGGGGGACCCUUCAACCCGACAGAUCAAUAGUGAUGGUACUGCUGGUCGGUGGCACACAGCAGCUUAUAUACUAAGAGAAUCUUAUGGUGUUUUGGGUGGUUGCAGAGAGUGCACUGUUUAUCAAAUUACGCUUUGGUUUUUACUGUAGGGUCACCUGAAGCCUGAAACGAAUACACCUUUCUGGUUGUCAAAAUGCCUAAUUAUUCAAGAUGUUGCUAGUGCCUGAAAUAAAGAAGUCUCCGUUUUUUUUAAAAUUUCAGUAGAUACUGGAUGUAUUUUUUUUAAAGUUUGAAUUAGGUUGUCUAUUACCGAAGUUUUUUUUUUUGUUUUUAUUUUAUAAUUAUUUAUUUAUUAGAUUCUGAAUUUUACGUACGAUGUCUGCUGUAAUUGCAAUAACAUGGAUACUUUCGUUUAUGGAUAAAGGCCAGGCUGGCAUUUCUUAUGAUCUUUCUUUUUACUUAGAAUACUUACUUAAAGCAUAUUGUGAUCAAUAAUAGUUAGGCACUAUCAUUCUAAUAAAUUUUUUGAAGUGUUUCCGAGAGAAUUCUAAGUUUAAAUGUUUUUUAAUGUUCUGUUGGCAGCAUGUAGAAUGUAAUAACGUGGAGAAUGCAUAGAAUGACAAAUGUUAGGAGAAACCUUCAAAGGAAGAUUUGUCGAUUACAAUUUUUUUAAGAUUUUCUAUAAAUUCUACAUAUUAGUUUCAUGAAAAUCUGUUUUAAUUAUUGGUUCUCAGAGAUUACUUAGAAAAAUACUCGUUCAGGUGUCAAACGACACUUGGAUUCUAGCAGAGUAAUUGGUAAAAAUACCUGAGCAUGUAUGCGCGUGUGAAUUAAACAGAAUGCUUUAUCAACAUAAUUUGUUCUUCAUCCAUUAGUUACAGUUUAAGGAAAUUCAAACAUAUUAAAAAAAACUAACAAAACUUUCAUCUUGGGAGAAAGUAAGGGUGCGUGUGUAAUUAAUAAUUGUGGGAAAUUUUAAUUGCAGUUUUUAUAAGAACCGCAGAAGACUUCAGUGAAUUACAGUGACAGAAUAAUAAUUGUCUUUCAUAAUACAGGGGUUGAUAGAGAGUGGUCCGAAUUGAGAAAGAGAGACUAUCGGAAGAUGUUGAUAGGAAACAAUGAAGUAAAAGAAAAUAAGUGAAUAUAUGGCGAUUAUAUUGGAUAGAAGUAGUGGAGGUGGUUGUAAUCGAUGGUAGUGGUGUCAUACACUGUGUUAAUGCCGCUGAUAAGAUGCUAAGCAAUGUUUUGUAAUAAUAAUGAUGUCGAAAGCUUUUGUGUUGUAUUAUAGAGUUCCUGGUUAUUUGGUGACCGCGAUAUUCGGCUCUGGUUGUUUUGUUGUUCAGUCUGUAAUAGUGAAUAUUAAGGUGGUGAUGACGGCGGUUCUGAGAGAGAGAAGGAGAGGGGAUAAAAACGAGCGAACACGAGAGAUGUUAGCCUAAACAGAACACGUAGAGCUUGCUUAGUACAAGAAACCCAGCGUGUGUUAGUAUGAGGAGAGGAGGAGAUGGAGAAAAAGAGAGAAGGAAGCAGGCUACGUCACCAGAUGAAUAUUGAAUUGCAAUUGGAGCUAACGGCACCCCUGGGGGAUGUUCCCUAGGGAGGCGACCUUUCGCAUACUGAGUCAGACGCGUGAUUUGGGUACGGUUUCUAGCCGUUUUAGUUCGGUUAGAAUAACAGUGUAUUUUUAGCUAGAGAGAAAGGGAGAAAGGAAUAUGCCCGUAUUCACCAAUAAUACAGUCGAAUGUUUUUUUUUUUAAUGUUGUUUUUAUCCUAUGAGAACCAAGUCACGCUGGCCACUGCCAUUCACAGCACAAGUCGGCUGGGCAUUUACUACCACUCUUUCUUCCACUCCUUCUUUCCUCUACUUCUCCAGUCCCCCGAUGGAAGCAGUGGUAGGUGGAUUCCUUAUUCUAUGCCAUCUUUAGUAGCCAUGGUAUAGUGAGUGGGCACUCAAGAGGCGGGAUAUUUCUCUCUAUAGAAGGCGUAUCUCAUAUGGAUUACAUAGAGAGGAAAUCGACUGAAUUAAGGCGGAAGAAAGUAGUUUUUAAGUUUGGCUCUCUUUUCUGCUGCUGCUGCUGCUUCCACACUUUUUCCCUCCUUCCCUCUCUGUUUCUCCAAUACUUUCUUCUCCACUCACAUGCUGAACUUGAAACACUUUCACUUUAUAUGUAAACACAUGUAUGCACAUGCGCAGUUGCUUAGCCAGGGGCAAGUAACUCCAUGAAGAGGCCGGUAGGGGUGUGUACGUGCCUACAUCCAUUGGUUGCAUCAUUG